rnacentral:lncRNA from 1 species
GCGGCCGCCGCCCUCGCCACCCCGCCUGCCCACUCCCGCCGCCGCCCCGCUCUCGCUUUCCCCCCGGCCUCCCCUCGCCCCUUCCCCUCCCCCUUCCCGGCGCACUCGGGGGGCUGGGAACGAGCUGCCAUGUGAUGCGCGUCCCCUCCGCGAGCUUUCGGUGACCCACGAACUGCCCACCUCGCCGGCUGCCGGGAGGGGGCUGCGAGCCGGGAAGACGCGGGGAAGAGGAGGCGGAAAAGGACGCAAAGUUCUCCGGCGAGAUAAGAGUGUUGCUGUUGAUCAUCUUUGCCUGGGAAGUUGAAUGAUAAAGCCAGAAGAAAGCAUGCUUUCUGAUCAUUUGCAGCUGUCUGCUUCAGAAAGUGAGGGCUCCAGGAAUGAGGAGAAUCUUCAAGAACUUCCUCGCACUGUGACAUGUCUGAUCCCUUGCUCCCAUCCCUGCAGCAUGAACAAGGUGGACACUCACUGACCUGUCACAAGGUUGCCCCACAAAACUUU